UACGUAGGUGGCAAGCGUUGUCCGGAAUUAUUGGGCGUAAAGCGCGCGCAGGCGGUCCUUUAAGUCUGAUGUGAAAGCCCACGGCUCAACCGUGGAGGGUCAUUGGAAACUGGGGGACUUGAGUGCAGAAGAGGAAAGCGGAAUUCCACGUGUAGCGGUGAAAUGCGUAGAGAUGUGGAGGAACACCAGUGGCGAAGGCGGCUUUCUGGUCUGUAACUGGCGCUGAGGCGCGAAAGCGUGGGGAGCAAACAGG
rnacentral:rRNA from 1 species